AGCAAUCAAUAAGCGGAGGAAAAGAAACCAACAGGGAUUGCCCUAGUAACGGCGAGUGAAGCGGCAACAGCUCAAAUUUGAAAUCUGGCUUCGGCCCGAGUUGUAAUUUGCAGAGGAUGUUUAUGGUGCGGUACCUUCCGAGUUCCCUGGAACGGGACGCCACAGAGGGUGAGAGCCCCGUCUGGUUGGAUACCAAACCUGUGUUAAACUCCUUCAACGAGUCGAGUAGUUUGGGAAUGCUGCUCUAAAUGGGAGGUAAAUCUCUUCUAAAGCUAAAUACCGGCCAGAGACCGAUAGCGCACAAGUAGAGUGAUCGAAAGAUGAAAAGCACCUUGAAAAGGGGGUUAAACAGUACGUGAAAUUGUUAAAAGGGAAGCGUUUAUGACCAGACUUGUGUCGUGUGGCUCAUCCGAGGUUCUCCCCGGUGCACUCCACACGGCUCAGGCCAACAUCGGUUCUCGUUGGGGGAUAAGAACAGUAGGAACGUGGCCCUCUUCGGAGGGUGUUAUAGCCUGCUGUACGAUACCCUGAUGGGGACCGAGGACCGCGCUUCGGCUAGGAUGUUGGCGUAAUGGUCAUUAGCGACCCGUCUUGAAACACGGACCAAGGAGUCGUCCAUUAGAGCGAGCGUUUGGGUGUAAAACCCGCACGCGUAAUGAAAGUGAAAUUAGGUGAGAGCUUCGGCGCAUCAUCGACCGAUCCUGAAGUUUACGGAUGGAUUUGAGUAAGAGUUUUAACGGACGGACCCGAAAGACAGUGAACUAUGCUUGAAUAGGGUGAAGCCAGAGGAAACUCUGGUGGAGGCUCGCAGCGGUUCUGACGUGCAAAUCGAUCGUCAAAUUUGAGCAUGGGGGCGAAAGACUAAUCGAACUGUCUAGUAGCUGGUUACCGCCG
rnacentral:rRNA from 1 species